rnacentral:misc_RNA from 1 species
AAGUCGUAACAAGGUUUCCGUAGGUGAACCUGCGGAAGGAUCAUCAGUGAUUGUCUCUUGAUGGAGACGUUAAAACUCACAACGGCCGAUUUUUGCAUAUUGGGACGAGGAGCGAUGGCAGUGGUUGGGAGUGGAGCGGGCGCGGCAGAUUUUUUCUGUCGCGCCCGGGGCACUCGUCGACCUGCCGCGCUGCUCCCUACUAUAAAACUACACCCAUUGAAAAAACAGUCAAAACAAUAAAAUCCAAAAAAAUACAACUUUCAACAAUGGAUCUCUUGGCUCUU